UGUUGAGUACCAUUACUGCGCACACGAAAUCUCGAGGUACACUGAUACAGUGAACCUCCCGUAACUGCUGUUGCAUUGCACGAUAUCCAAGAAGUUGUCCAUGGCCUUCUAAUCCUCUCCUUACUGCUUCAUCUACAGUAGCAAGAUCUACCUCCUAAUAAGUAAAUUUUUAAUAUCACUAUAUUGUGGGACAAAGACCGCUCUCUGCAGGCGUACAUGGGAUACUUUGUCUGAAUGAAGACCAAUAUCUCAUUUUUCUGCCAGUUUCGCUUUACAUUCUCGGUUAAAUCAUGUUUGAG